rnacentral:rRNA from 1 species
GAUGAACGCUGGCGGCGUGCCUAAUACAUGCAAGUCGAGCGGUAACACUUCGGGUGACGAGCGGCGGACGGCUGAGUAACACGUAGGAAUCUACCCCAGACUGAGGGAUAAGCACCGGAAACGGUGUCUAAUACCGCAUACGCUCUAAGGAGUAAAGCUUCGGCGGUUUGGGAAGAGCCUGCGCAUGAUUAGCUUGUUGGUAAGGUAACGGCUUACCAAGGCGACGAUCAUUAGCUGGUCUGAGAGGAUGAUCAGCCAGACUGGGACUGAGACACGGCCCAGACUCCUACGGGAGGCAGCAGUAGGGAAUUUUCCACAAUGGGCGUAAGCCUGAUGGAGCAACGCCGCGUGCAGGAUGAAGGCCUUAGGGUUGUAAACUGCUUUUAUAUGUGAAGAUUAUGACGGUGGCAUAUGAAUAAGGAUCGGCUAACUCCGUGCCAGCCGCCGCAGUAA